UGACGUGUGGACGUUUCUGAGCAAGCUAAGUUACAAAUGAUUUGAGUAGAAAUAGAAGUUUUGUUAUUUUUCUCUGGUACUUUUAGCUUUUUUUCUAGAAUUUUAUUGAUAUUACUUCAUGCAUAGCUGGAAACCAAGAAAUCCUUUCCUAAGAGGCUUGAGGAACAAAAUGCCUUUGAAGUUUCUGCAGACAUGGUGUCACAGAAGGCACAGGGGCUGCUUGAAGCUGCUUGGAGGUUUAGAGCGUCAAAGUCAUGUCAGCAGAGAUGGAUUAGUGGGCAGAGAGCAAGUGGUGCAGUCAAAGGAUCACAGUGAAUGUAAUUUAUUCACGUAGCUCCGCAAUUUAUCACGUGGCUAUUACCAUAAUGUACGUGGGAAGCAGCUGCAUGCAUGCACAUAAUGCCUUAAAUGUAUGUGUGGUUGGACCUGAACUCCUUACAGAACAGUAGUGGUUGCAAAUGAUACCAUAAGGCGUUUAAAAGCAAAUUUCCUUCCUGUGGGGAUUCUGUCACACAGCGAUGAUGAUUUGUACACAGGCAAACAAAUGUCUUGUAGACUGUUCCCUCACCUACCAGAACUCAUGUUUUUUUCAAACCUAAAUCAUCUGGGUAACGUGAUGUAAAUUUCCAGUGCUUUAUUAAUAUAUAUGUUUUGUGCCUCAAGCUCCCAUUCUGUAGUAAAGGAAUACCACAUCUUCCACUUAUUUAUUUCUGUAAAAUAUUUAUUUCUGUAAAAUACUAAGUAUUUGUGAGAAGAAAAAAGUUAUCUGCAAGUUGAAAAUUUCCUCCAAUCUCACUGACCUCUUAGAGCACAAUCUAUCAAAUACUCAGGAGCGGCACAGCUGUAAAAGGCUGAUAUAUGCUGCCUGCCUCAUUUCUCAUACCUGUACAAUUAUUUACCAAGCCCAGCAUUUCCAAAAUUGUUUUCUAAUUUUAGGAGCAUCCAAAUUAAGGAACUUGACUUUAGUCUUUCUUAGUUGACCUGAAUGCCUGCAGUCUCAGUUAAAGAAAAAAAAUCUCUUAACUGUUUGUAGAGCCAGCCCCUAUAUGAAGAGCUUUCUUACGCUUCCCGUGCACACAAAUGUGCAUACGUGCUGCCUGGGGUACCCGGGCUCCAAUAACGUUGUCUGUGCCAGUGCAGGCUUGCCCAAAAAGCUCCAGCAGCACAGCUCCCACCACCACUUUUGAGCUUCUGCAGCUUGAGCAAACCAUGAGAAACGAUGCUGAAUUAUACAGUGCUACGAUGCUUUCAGGUGACUGUAUUAGAAGCAAUUCACUGAAUACUUUCGUGAUCCAGGCAAAUAUGGUUAGGGGUUAACUGACUACGAGUUUUAUGCUGCUUUCUUUUAAGUCAUUAAAAGUUGACCUAAAGACACAGCGAAUUGAGACCAAGUCAAGCUAGGCCCCAAUAAUAAGAACACCACAUUGCCCAGCUUAAUGUACUGCUUGGCAUCUGUUUAGCACAACCCUCUCACAUUCAGAACACGAGGCAGAUUUUCCAGGACAUUUGUAUGUGUGCUACAGGACUUCCAUUUUGCAGCCAUCUAGCACAAGUAUAUAUCCGCUAGUUAUGAAAAUUAAAAGCUUGCCUUACC